rnacentral:misc_RNA from 1 species
GCGGAGCAUUGCCCGUGAGAAACCAGAUCUCGAUCUACUCCUCCGGUCGCUGCACCUCAGCUUUGCAGUGAGCAUGGCAAAAGCAAAGGGUAAGGAGAAGCCUGCUGCUUCCACUGUUCCAGAAGAAGUGGAGGAGGCGGCUGUUGAUGAUGUUACCAUUGAACCGACUCCUGAACCUGUGAAGAUGGAAGUAGAAGAGGACACUGUUGAUGAGGAACCAGAGGAGCCUGAGGAAGUUGAAGAGUUAGAUGAACCUGAUAAGGAAAAAGAGGUGAAUGAAGAUGUCACACCUGAAGCUGCAGUGACCACUGCUACUCCUGCAACUGAAAAGGCGGUGGAAGGUGAUGCAAAGGAAGACGCCAAAGGUGAUGAAGAUGAAAAGGCUCCUUCCAAAAAGAAGGUUCAAAGGUCUAAGAAGAGGAAGAGACCAGCAAAGGCUGGUACUUCUACUGGUGCUGCUGAUAAGGCUGAAGCUUCAGAUCCAGAGAAGAAGGGCCUUAAGAAGGCUGAGGGCAUGGGGUUGAUAUUCAUGUGCAAUGCUAAGACCAAAGAGGACUGUUUCAAGUACAAGAUUUUUGGUCUCCCUGAAAGCAAAAAAGAUUUGGUAGCACAAAUAUACAAGGGUAUGAGGUUGUUUCUUUAUGACAUUGAUCUUAAGGAAAUGCAUGGUAUUUACAAAGCUGCUGGUCCUGGUGGUUACAAUAUUGAGCCGGAGGCAUUCAAUUCAGCAUUUCCUUCUCAGGUUCGUUUCCAUGUUCUCAAGGAGUGCCAGCCACUGUCCCAAGAGAAAUUUAAACCAGCAAUUAAAGCCAAUUACUUUGGGAGAAACAAGUUCAAUACCCAGCUGUCCAAGGAACAGGUUGGCGACUUGUGUAAGAUUUUUACAGGUGACAAUAAGUCACCAAAGGAGAAGCCUGUUACCGGAACAGGUAAAGUGGUGAAAUCUGCUGGACGUGAUAAUAGGACUGGGAAAGCACCAAAUUCUGCUGGC